GACGAACGCUGGCGGCGUGCUUAACACAUGCCAGUCGAACGGAAAGGCCCUGCUUUUGUGGGGUGCUCGAGUGGCGAACGGGUGAGUAACACGUGAGUAACCUGCCCUUGACUUUGGGAUAACUUCAGGAAACUGGGGCUAAUACCGGAUAGGAGCUCCUGCUGCAUGGUGGGGGUUGGAAAGUUUCGGCGGUUGGGGAUGGACUCGCGGCUUAUCAGCUUGUUGGUGGGGUAGUGGCUUACCAAGGCUUUGACGGGUAGCCGGCCUGAGAGGGUGACCGGCCACAUUGGGACUGAGAGACGGCCCAGACUCCUACGGGAGGCAGCAGUGGGGAAUAUUGCACAAGGGGCGGAAGCCUGAUGCAGCAACGCCGCGUGCGGGAUGACGGCCUUCGGGUUGUAAACCGCGUUCGCCUGUGACGAAGCGUGAGUGACGGUAAUGGGUAAAGAAGCACCGGCUAACUACGUGC
rnacentral:rRNA from 1 species